GUGUGCGCUCAGGCAAGGACCCUUUUCCCACUACCACCACUCACAAUGCACAUGGAUCCAUUCAUCAGCUGCAGUACAGAGAAUUAGAGGAGAUGUCUUCUAGAGACAUCAACUGACAAGAAGGACAAAGUCAAGAAUAUAACAAUGCUGGGAUAUCUUGCAUACAGAUAAAUUCUCUCAGAUAAUUUCAUAACACAUCACAGAAAUGGCUAUCAUGACCACGAGAAUCUUGGAUUGCGAAGCAGAGAUUCAGAAGACAAUUGCUCAUCAAGAAACCCACCAACAAUAUGAAAUCCUUCUGAAGAGUCGUGUCGAAAGGAAUGCUGGAGGAGCCUCUGAAUCCUGACAGUAAUAAACAGUUAUGUUCUUCGC